AAAGAAAUGGGUCCUAGACCCCACACACGCCACUCGGUAAAGAAUCGGGCCUAUAGCUCAGCUGGCUAGAGCACACGACUGAUAAUCGUGAGGUCAGUGGUUCGAGUCCACUUGGGCCCACCAAAUGGGGCUGUAGCUCAGCUGGGAGAGCACCUGCUUUGCAAGCAGGGGGUCACCGGUUCGAUCCCGGUCAGCUCCACCAAAGGGAAGAGGCCCGCGCGCAGCGGGUCGGACGCUGGGGUGGAGAAGUAGGCGGCAGGAAGCGGGUAACAGGUAACAGGAAGUAGAGAGUAGGAAAGUAAUUAAAGAGUCCGUAGUAGUGAGUUUCUGAAUAAAGAAGCUGAGUACUACCGAUUCGCAGUAUGGAAGCGGUAUUGUUCUUUGACAGUUGAGGAAGGGAAGGCCAUGUUUGUCAUCUUGCCGAUGGCAGACCUCCAGGUGGAUGCUUGGGGAUAUAU
rnacentral:misc_RNA from 1 species